rnacentral:tRNA from 1 species
UGCCCGCGUGGGGGAAUAGGCAGACCCGACAGACUUAAAAUCUGUUGUCGCAAUGACGUACCGGUUCAAGUCCGGUCGUGGGUAU